UACAGAGGUGGCAAGCGUUGUUCGGAAUUACUGGGCGUAAAGCGUGCGUAGGCGGUUUGUUAAGUCUGCUGUGAAAUCCCCGGGCUCAACCUGGGAAUGGCAGUGGAUACUGGCAAGCUAGAGUGUGUCAGAGGAUGGUGGAAUUCCCGGUGUAGCGGUGAAAUGCGUAGAGAUCGGGAGGAACAUCAGUGGCGAAGGCGGCCAUCUGGGACAACACUGACGCUGAGGCACGAAAGCGUGGGGAGCAAACAGG
rnacentral:rRNA from 1 species